UACGAAGGGGGCUAGCGUUGUUCGGAAUUACUGGGCGUAAAGCGCGCGCAGGCGGCCAUUCAAGUCAGGGGUGAAAGCCCAGAGCUCAACUCUGGAACUGCCCUUGAAACUGCAUGGCUUGAGUACGAGAGAGGUGAGUGGAAUUCCCAGUGUAGAGGUGAAAUUCGUAGAUAUCAGGAAGAACACCCGUGGCUAAGGCGGCUCUCUAGUACGGUACUGACGCUGAGACGCGAAAGCGUGGGGAGCGAACAGG
rnacentral:rRNA from 1 species